rnacentral:rRNA from 1 species
GACGAACGCUGGCGGCGUGCUUAACACAUGCAAGUCGAACGGAAAGGCCCUGCUUUUGUGGGGGGCUCGAGUGGCGAACGGGUGAGUAACACGUGAGUAACCUGCCCUUGACUUUGGGAUAACUUCAGGAAACUGGGGCUAAUACCGGAUAGGAGCUCCUGCUGCAUGGUGGGGGUUGGAAAGUUUCGGCGGUUGGGGAUGGACUCGCGGCUUAUCAGCUUGUUGGUGGGGUAGUGGCUUACCAAGGCUUUGACGGGUAGCCGGCCUGAGAGGGUGACCGGCCACAUUGGGACUGAGAUACGGCCCAGACUCCUACGGGAGGCAGCAGUGGGGAAUAUUGCACAAUGGGCGGAAGCCUGAUGCAGCAACGCCGCGUGCGGGAUGAAGGCCUUCGGGUUGUACCCCGCUUUCGCCUGUGACGAAGCGUGAGUGACGGUAAUGGGUAAAGAAGCACCGGCUAACUACGUG